rnacentral:rRNA from 1 species
AACGAACGCUGGUGGCGUGCUUAACACAUGCAAGUCGAACGAGAAAAUUUCCUUCGGGAAAUUAGUAAAGUGGCGCAAGGGUGAGUAUCACGUGAAUAAUCUGCCCUCGAGAUCGGGAUAACAUGGUGAAAACUAUGCUAAUACCGGAUAAGACCACAUUUCAUAAGAAAUGCGGUAAAAGGAGUCUCAAUCUUCACUCGAGGAUGAGUUCGCGCAACAUUAGCUUGUUGGUGAGAUAAAAGCUCACCAAGGCUACGAUGUUUAGCCGGCCUGAGAGGGUGAACGGCCACACUGGAACUGAGACACGGUCCAGACUCCUACGGGAGGCAGCAGUGGGGAAUAUUGCGCAAUGGGCGAAAGCCUGACGCAGCGAUGCCGCGUGAGUGAAG